CAGGAUCUGACCCUAAGAUGCUUUUGUGGAUUGCUCAGGCCAAAUUCAUGUACAAAAGCUUGGCUUCAUCCAAAAAUGACUUGUAGAUCUGACCCUGAGAUGCUUUUGUGGAUUGCUCAGGCCAAACUCAUGUACAAAAGCUUGGCUUCAUCUAAAAAUGACUUGUAGUAAGUGCUUGAUAUUUGAAAUUAUUAAUCCUUCAACUGCUUUAAAUUCUGCAGGAUCUGACCCUGAGAUGCUUUUAUGGAUUGCUCAGGCCAAACUCAUGUACAAAAGGUUGGCUUCAACCAAAAAUGACUUGUAGCCAAACUCAUGUACAGUACCGGCAUCCUCAUCCCUGCAUGCCUUAAGAAAAGCUUGGCUUUAUCCAAAAAUGCUCAUAGUAUUUUUCUGAGGAAUCAGCAAUACUUUGCAGAUCCUGUAACAUUGUUUAAGGAUCGACAUUGCAACAUCUUCCCGGUAAUUUAUUAAUAAUUUUCUGUUAAUUAUUAUGAAAUAAAUAGUUCAUCAUCCUAAAUGAUCAAAUAACUAAGAGAUAGACAACUUCCACAAUCAGUGAAAAGGUCAAUUAAAGUCUGUAACACAGCCUCCCAAAUGAUGAAAGUGAAAAGUAGAACCUUUAGAUUUCAGAAUUGUUAGCAUUACAUGAUAACUGGAGAAAGA